ACUAUGCCAAUAUUGAUAUACCCCGAGGAGUGUAUCCCGAGGACUCAAUCUAUACCCCACCUCAUUUCUCUUCUUCGGUCCUCGAGGUCAUCUAAGUCCUAGAGAUAUUGUAGUCCUCGAGAUACCUCGAGGACACAUUUACAUUCCCUCAAUGUCCUCGAGAAUAGUCCUCGAGACAUACACCACCAACAUACCUCCUAAGACCUGGGUACCUAACUAACAAACCUAAACACCCAAGGAUUCUACAUCAACCCUAACACCACUUGUCAAACAAUUCCAUUACAAGUAGGACAUUCUUUAUAAUAGAAAUUCCCUUGGAUAAAAACAUCCAACCAACACAAUCC
rnacentral:lncRNA from 1 species